GGACUUCCAGAAGCGGCAUCCACACAGAGAACCGGUUGUUCACAUAUUUGAAUCCCACCACUGUCCAUGCCCCUCUAUCCAGCAAUAAACACACAAACACAAACCCCAGGAGGAAGAUGGGGCAGAGGAAGGGACAGCAUCUCUAGGAAAAGAAAAGCAAAAGGGCAAAAAACAUCUGGAUGGAACAGAAGUUAAAAAAAGAGACAGAGAGAAUCCUGCUGAAGUGUUGCAAAGGAAAAGAAAAAAGAAAAAGAAAAGAAAAGAAAAGAAAGGUUAAGUUCACCAGAGAAACAGACUUUUUUUUUAUUGUUGUAUUGUUGUAAAGGGAGAAACUGUUUUCCUGGAGAACUUAACCUUUUUUUGUAACACCUCAGCAGAGAACUCUGCAGUCUGUUGCAUUUCUUGCCCACUUUUUUUAUUUCAAUAGUUUCAGUUCUUAUCACUGAGUGUCAAAUGAGCUGGUAAUUUUGGGACUAGUGCAUGUUAAAAAAAAAAAAAAACCUCUUAUUCCCAUCCCCUCAAUGAACAACCAUUUUUGUUCAGUGAUUCUUCAAACUCACAACAGUGUUGAAUAAGGGGGAUAAGACAGAUCCUUGCUGUUGCAGUAGUCGCAUAAGUAUCAUUCAGAUGCUUGGCAACUAGGGCUGGCAAUUAUGAUGUUGUGGAGUCUUGCAAUCACAUGACUGCCAUUUGCCACCUUCAUUGCUGGCUUUCCACAAGCAACAUCAAUGGGGAGGCCCCCAGGAGCUCACAAACGGCGAUCAUAUGAUCUGGGACAUUUGCAACCGUGUGGGACUGCCACAAUUGCUACUUGCCCCACAAUGAUCUACUCAAGGAUGGCUCUGGAUGGGAUAGAAUGUAACCAGAGACUUAGUAGCCCUGAGCAAGGUUCAAAGAAAUGGGCAAUGAACAAGACCAAAUAUAUUAGGAAUUAAGAUCCAAUGGCUCUUUAUAUUUUGACACUGGAUGUGGAAAAAGCAGGUAUUUAUAAAACUAUAAAUUAAUUGCCUACUGACUUAUCUAUUUUUAAUUGUGUUCUAAACCUGUUACCUGAAAACACAUGAGGACAUGCAACCUAAUGGUGUGACAAUAACAGCAAACAGUAAAUCAAGAAGCAAAGGGAAAAAAAUAAGCCAAAGCUUAGAAAAGUCAAAGCAUCAGACUUCAAAUGAAAGCAGCCCAAAGUCUGAUGAUGUAAGAACUUCUAAAUCUUCCCACUGCAUCCAUGUCAGAAAAUUUAAUUGAAUCCACUAUCUUCCCACUUUUGCCUAGUUACAAUGUUUUAGUCAGUUCUUUAGUCUGUUAUUGUUUACCGACUCUUCAUGUGACAUUGACCAUUAUAUUAUGAACUGUAACCAGUAGUAUGCAUCAUGAAGCACCCAACAUAUUUAUUGGUACAAACUCUGUCUUGUUAUAUAAGUACUAAAGACGUUGGUACUACAAAAUCAGAUUUCAGGAAAACAUCAUUAUUUUAUUCUUGAUCAAAAAUACAAUUUGAAGUUUUCAAUUAUGUUGUCUCUGAUCAAGAAAAGAAAAAUGCCAUUUAAGUACGAAACUAGACUCCUAGGCAUAUUUAUUAAUUGUUUAACACCACCCAAAGUCCAAUGACAGUGUUAGAGGACACCAUACUAUGUGAGCUUAGUAAAGCUAUCCAAGGAGGUGCAUCAAAAUUAUACACUAAUUCUUUCACAACUAGGUGUUAAAGCAAUUGCUGAGCUAAUUAUUUACAGUAAAAGAAACUUUUGGCAGAGUUGGACCAUAUUUAAUGUUUGUGAAGAGUUAAAGGCUUCAAUGGAAAUUAUGCAAAGUGGGCAGCACCAUCCAUACACGAGGAACCAUGCACAUGGAUAACCUUCAUCAGCCCUUGGAUGAAGUAUCCCCUUCCUCAUCCUGUUGGGCCCCUCACUGACAUUGACAUCAUCAACCAUGGUAUCCUGCUACAACAGGUAGGAAUGGGAUCAACCAUUUUACAGUGGUUCCAAUCAUACUUGAGUGGGCAAGUGGGCAAUUCCAGUUAGUAAUCAUAGGGUGUGAGUGGUCAAGCCCUUGGUUGCUCCAUUUUUCAGUGCCAUUGGACUUGGCCCUAUAGAAUUUACCAUUCUAUAAAACCACUGGGAGAGGUUGGUUCAAUAUCUUGAUGACACUCAAGUGCGUAUCAUAAUACUGGCCUGAACUGGAGAUGCUGCAAAGAAUCUUCAAUUUAGUUUAGCAAGAUUUCUAUCUGUAGAUGAGGAACAAUAAAGGUAACUGCUCAGAAGUAAUGGUACAUGUCGUUCUUGGUUCUUGGGGCCUGAUAACAAUUUUGGCAAACUCAAGCAACUAUUAGCAUCAUUAUAGAUAUACUCUGAUAAUUGCGAAGGAGAAUGCUUUUCAACUCUCUUUCUCCUGACCAAAUUAUCUAAGUUCCACUGUCUCUUUGUCCUCUGGAAUGUGAUCUCUCUGUCCUAAGAAGCCAGACCACAUUUUAAUACAGCUUAAGAAAUGGAGAGUUGGAUCUAGUGUCAGAAUCUGGCCUCCCGGUCACUUGGUUCACUGGCUCAGGGGUGUCAAACUGCCGGCCUACGGGCCGAAUGCGUCAUGUCGAAACUGCGCCCACCCCAGCUCCGGCAAUGGGAAAAAAGUUGCAAUACAUCACAUGACACGGCGAGUUUGUCACUCCUGCACUAGCUGAUCGCAAAACCUCCAUUUCACAAUAUUCUUGCAAGGAACAGCUGCCUGGAGCCCAAAUAGAUUAAUUCUCCUUCAAUCUGGAGAAUUCUUCAGGCUGCAAGUGUCUUGCCUGAGCCCCAGGUAGUUGUGGGGCCCAUUGCAAGCUACUCAAUCCACCACAUCCCCACCAAAAGCAAAACAACCCUAAAUGGAAAAAAAAAUAUCUCAAGACAUAGAGGAGCAGAAUCAUUUUAAAUAUGUUUUGUUUCCAUUUUCCACUCAUAUUUUAAAAGAUUCAAAGGACCCAUCCUAAUUUAUUACAACAAUAGAAUUCUUAGAUGCCUUAGGUUUAUGUGCUGGAUUAAAAUAAAAUAAAAAAGUUAUUCUUGCAAAAAUAAAUAAAUAAAGUACUAAGACUUCCCCCCAAAAAGUACACAUUUUAACCUUUAAGCCGACUUUAUCUUUUAGUAGGUUACUAAAUACAUGAUUUUUUUUUUUAAAACGACCCUGAUGGACAACUUACAAAACAGAACUGGAUAGAAAUGCCCCCAUUUUCUAUGGCUGUUUCCCUAUUGCUUAAAGUUAUUUGAAGAAAAGAUUUUUAUCUUUGGUGUUAUUAUUACUACUUCUGUAACUUUAAAACCAAAGCAUCAUAAUUUUAUCACAUUCUGUGGAAGGGGUCUUUGGAAUGAGAAGGUAGCUUUUGCACACUCCGUGAUCACUUCUUUAUUACAACUGAUCCCUAAAUACACCUGCAGAGGAGAACAAUCUUCACUGUUUACAGGGCAUUCCUAUAUGUGUUUUCUCAGAGCUAAAUGUCAGUGUAUUCAGGGAUGUUUAUUUAGAUAUUCAUGCAUAUGAUUGCUGCCUAAGGGGAUGUAAUAGAAUCCAAAUAAAGUGCGUCAGUCCUGGAAACAAAUGAUUUAACCUGCUGAAGUUCUUGAUAAAUUGUUUCUAUCACCAGUGGAGCACCCUUGCUCGCUGGGGCUGGUGGGAGCUGAUGUUAGUAACAUAUGGAGGAUCAAAAAUUUCUCAUCUGCCUUGCAGUCAUGAACCAUUUCAUUUGAAGUUAGAGAUUUUUGUAAUAAGCCAUCUUUCCCGUAGUGCUCUUUCUCUGUGGUUUUAUUUGAAACUUGAUCUGAAUCAGUCCUAAACAUUAUGUACCUGGAAAAUACAUGAAUAUAUAUGAAACCCAAUCACAGAAGCUGAGAGAAAACAGGGAGAAUGGUGUACUUUCCAUCAACUCUUCCACUCUUAAAUUUUAAGCCCUACUGUUUGUCUUUCUUUUUGUUUUGUUUUCUGAAAGCUCAAGAGUUAAAUUAUAUGUUUGGAUAAUAUGAAGUAUGUUGAUCAGCAUGGCAUUUUUCUUUCAGUUUUUACUUAUUGUAAUUUAAAUGCUGUAGCAAUACUAAAGAAGAUAUCAUACCACAUAAUCAUUUAGAUUGAUUGUAACUGACAAAGAAAUAAAAAUUAAAUAUCAGUACCAAUAAUGCUGAAACCAGGUGUAUGGGGUAGACAUACACACACACACACACACACACACGUGUGUGUGUGUG